rnacentral:rRNA from 1 species
ANNGGCAGCUACACAUGCAGUCGAGGGGUAGAAGGAGCUUGCUCCUUUGAGACCGGCGCACGGGUGCGUAACGCGUAUGCAAUCUACCUUGUACAGGGGAAUAGCCCAGAGAAAUUUGGAUUAAUGCCCCAUAGUAUAUAACCUUCGCAUGUUGGUUAUAUUAAAGUUCCAACGGUACAAGAUGAGCAUGCGUCCCAUUAGUUAGUUGGUAAGGUAACGGCUUACCAAGACGAUGAUGGGUAGGGGUCCUGAGAGGGAGAUCCCCCACACUGGUACUGAGACACGGACCAGACUCCUACGGGAGGCAGCAGUGAGGAAUAUUGGUCAAUGGUCGCAAGACUGAACCAGCCAUGCCGCGUGCAGGAAGACGGUCCUAUGGAUUGUAAACUGCUUUUAUACAGGAAGAAACCCUCCCACGUGUGGGAGCUUGACGGUACUGUAGGAAUAAGGAUCGGCUAACUCCGUGCCAGCAGCCGCGGUAAUACGGAGGAUUCAAGCGUUAUCCGGAAUCAUUGGGUUUAAAGGGUCCGUAGGCGGUCUUAUAAGUCAGUGGUGAAAGCCCAUCGCUCAACGAUGGAACUGCCAUUGAUACUGUAAGACUUGAAUGCUUAGGAAGUAACUAGAAUAUGUAGUGUAGCGGUGAAAUGCUUAGAUAUUACAUGGAAUACCAAUUGCGAAGGCAGGUUACUACUAAGUGAUUGACGCUGAUGGACGAAAGUGUGGGGAGCGAACAGGAUUAGAUACCCUGGUAGUCCACGCCGUAAACGAUGGAUACUAGCUGUUCGGCGCAAGUUGAGUGGCUAAGCGAAAGUGAUAAGUAUCCCACCUGGGGAGUACGCACGCAAGUGUGAAACUCAAAGGAAUUGACGGGGGCCCGCACAAGCGGUGGAGCAUGUGGUUUAAUUCGAUGAUACGCGAGGAACCUUACCAGGGCUUAAAUGUAGAUU